rnacentral:rRNA from 1 species
AACGAACGCUGGCGGCAUGCCUAACACAUGCAAGUCGAACGAGACCUUCGGGUCUAGUGGCGCUCGGGUGCGUAACGCGUGGGAACCUGCCCUUAGGUUCGGAAUAACUCCCUGAAAGGGGUGCUAAUACCGGAUAAUUUCUUCGUACCAAAGAUUUUUCGCCUUUGGAUGGGCCCGCGUUGGAUUAGCUAGUUGGUAGGGUAAAAGCCUACCAAGGCGACGAUCCAUAGCUGGUCUGAGAGGAUGAUCAGCCACACUGGGACUGAGACAGGGCCCAGAAUACUACGGGGGGCGGAAGUGGGAAAUAGGGAACAAGGGGGGAAAGAGUAAGCCAGCAAUGCGGAAUGAGUGAUGAAGGGGUAAGAAUGGAAAAGAGCUUUUACCCGGGAUGAUAGUGACAACACGGGGAAAAAGAGCUCGGGAAAACUCCG